GAAGAUGUUAAUUCUGUGAACUCCUGAUUCCUUGGCACCUUGCAAGCAGGAGGUCGGCGGUUCGAAUCCGCUCAUCUCCACCA
rnacentral:tRNA from 1 species